rnacentral:rRNA from 1 species
GACGAAGGGGGCUAGCGUUGUUCGGAAUUACUGGGCGUAAAGCGCGUGUAGGCGGUUGUUCAAGUCAGGUGUGAAAGCCUUGAGCUCAACUCAAGAAAUGCACUUGAUACUGGAUGACUAGAGGACCGGAGAGGAUAGUGGAAUUCCCAGUGUAGUGGUGAGAUACGUAGAGAUUGGGAAGAACACCAGUGGCGAAGGCGGCUAUCUGGACGGUUUCUGACGCUAAGACGCGAAAGCGUGGGGAGCAAACAGG